GAACUUCCGUUAAUUGAUUAUGACGUGCUUGCACUGAAUGAGAUUUUAACACGAAGUGAGUGGCGGACGGGUGAGUAACACGUGGGUAACCUGCCCAGAAGCAGGGGAUAACACCUGGAAACAGAUGCUAAUACCGUAUAACAGAGAAAACCGCCUGGUUUUCUUUUAAAAGAUGGCUCUGCUAUCACUUCUGGAUGGACCCGCGGCGCAUUAGCUAGUUGGUGAGGUAACGGCUCACCAAGGCGAUGAUGCGUAGCCGACCUGAGAGGGUAAUCGGCCACAUUGGGACUGAGACACGGCCCAGACUCCUACGGGAGGCAGCAGUAGGGAAUCUUCCACAAUGGACGCAAGUCUGAUGGAGCAACGCCGCGUGAGUGAAGAAGGGUUUCGGCUCGUAAAGCUCUGUUGUUAAAGAAGAACGUGGGUGAGAGUAACUGUUCACCCAGUGACGGUAUUUAACCAGAAAGCCACGGCUAACUACGUGCCAGCAGCCGCGGUAAUACGUAGGUGGCAAGCGUUAUCCGGAUUUAUUGGGCGUAAAGCGAGCGCAGGCGGUCUUUUAAGUCUAAUGUGAAAGCCUUCGGCUCAACCGAAGAAGUGCAUUGGAAACUGGGAGACUUGAGUGCAGAAGAGGACAGUGGAACUCCAUGUGUAGCGGUGAAAUGCGUAGAUAUAUGGAAGAACACCAGUGGCGAAGGCGGCUGUCUGGUCUGUAACUGACGCUGAGGCUCGAAAGCAUGGGUAGCGAACAGGAUUAGAUACCCUGGUAGUCCAUGCCGUAAACGAUGAUUACUAAGUGUUGGAGGGUUUCCGCCCUUCAGUGCUGCAGCUAACGCAUUAAGUAAUCCGCCUGGGGAGUACGACCGCAAGGUUGAAACUCAAAAGAAUUGACGGGGGCCCGCACAAGCGGUGGAGCAUGUGGUUUAAUUCGAAGCUACGCGAAGAACCUUACCAGGUCUUGACAUCUUCUGCCAACCUAAGAGAUUAGGCGUUCCCUUCGGGGACAGAAUGACAGGUGGUGCAUGGUUGUCGUCAGCUCGUGUCGUGAGAUGUUGGGUUAAGUCCCGCAACGAGCGCAACCCUUAUUACUAGUUGCCAGCAUUCAGUUGGGCACUCUAGUGAGACUGCCGGUGACAAACCGGAGGAAGGUGGGGACGACGUCAAAUCAUCAUGCCCCUUAUGACCUGGGCUACACACGUGCUACAAUGGAUGGUACAACGAGUCGCGAAACCGCGAGGUUUAGCUAAUCUCUUAAAACCAUUCUCAGUUCGGACUGUAGGCUGCAACUCGCCUACACGAAGUCGGAAUCGCUAGUAAUCGCGGAUCAGCAUGCCGCGGUGAAUACGUUCCCGGGCCUUGUACACACCGCCCGUCACACCAUGAGAGUUUGUAACACCCAAAGCCGGUGGG
rnacentral:rRNA from 1 species